rnacentral:tRNA from 1 species
AGAUCCUUAAGUUAAAUAAACUACCAUCCUUCAAAGAUGGAAUUUCCAAACCUUAGUAGGUGU